GGGUAUGUAGUUUGAGUAAAACACUUGCUUAGAAUUCAGGAGGCCCUAGGUUCAAUUUCUAGCAGCCCCG
rnacentral:tRNA from 1 species